GAAACUUCUCAGGAUAAACUUUGGUUAUUUAUAAUCUACUAUGUUUCUGGACCAACCAUGUCACCGACCAAGGUGAUGAAGUCAAUUGAUGCAGUUGCCAUUGGCUUGUCGGGAAAGAUCAAUCAUGGAUGCAUCAAGGAUGUACCGACCUCGAAGGCAUCCUCUUUUUGGUGAAGAGAUAUGAAGAAAUUCCUUCGACCAACAUCUCUCACAGUUUACAAAUUAUCUUCCAUUUACCUCAUCACAACUUUACUUGCCAGAAUUUUGAUUUCCCUAUUUACAUAUUAAUCAACUCUAAAAAAUAUAGUUUGUUCCUUUAAUUUGAUAUUUGUAAAAUCAAAGAGUGUUACGAACCAUUUUUUUUCUUAACAAUACUUGGAGUUUUCAAGGA